UACGAAGGGGGCUAGCGUUGCUCGGAAUCACUGGGCGUAAAGGGUGCGUAGGCGGGUCUUUAAGUCAGGGGUGAAAUCCCGGGGCUCAACCUCGGAACUGCCUUUGAUACAGCACGUCUCGAGUCCGGAAGAGGUGGGUGGAAUUCCUAGUGUAGAGGUGAAAUUCGUAGAUAUUAGGAAGAACACCGGUGGCGAAGGCGGCCCA
rnacentral:rRNA from 1 species